UACGAAGGGGGCUAGCGUUGUUCGGAAUCACUGGGCGUAAAGGGCGCGUAGGCGGCUUGAUAAGUCGGGGGUGAAAGCCUGUGGCUCAACCACAGAAUUGCCUUCGAUACUGUCUGGCUCGAGACCGGAAGAGGUAAGUGGAACUGCGAGUGUAGAGGUGAAAUUCGUAGAUAUUCGCAAGAGCACCAGUGGCGAAGGCGGCUUACUGGUCCGGUUCUGACGCUGAGGCGCGAAAGCGUGGGGAGCAAACAGG
rnacentral:rRNA from 1 species